rnacentral:rRNA from 1 species
CCGGGGAUGACUAGCUCACUCGCAUCAUAGAAUUUCUUUAAAUUCAUGAUGUCGUAAGGGAAAAUAAUGAUAUUACCUUACUAUGAGUGUCGUCCAAAGCUGGUGCCAGAAGACUCGGUAAGACCAGAGACGCAAACGUUAAUCAUCUUAAACAGGCGUAAAGGGUUUGUAGGCAGCUUUCAUAAGAUUGUUUCUUACAAAAAUAAAGAAGUGGUCUGAUUGAAAGCUAGAAUCAAAAAGAGGUUAUAGUGUAUAACGCCUAGAGGAGGGCUGAUAUCCUUAGAUCCUAGGCAGAAUACUUAGGGCGAAGGCCACUCUCCACUAAUGAUUGACGCUGAGAAACGAAGGUAAGGGUAGGAAAUAGGAUUAGAUACCCCGGUACUCCUUUCUGUAAACGAUGAAUGGUAGUCAUUAGUAAAAUUAAAAAUUACUAGAGACGAAGUUAACACAAUAACCAUUCCGCCUUGUGAGUACUACUGCAAAGUAGAAAACAAAAAAAUUAGUCGGUCUCGAAGCAAACGGAGUGAAGCAUGUUAUUUAAUUA